rnacentral:rRNA from 2 species
UCAAGCUACAAAGGGCUCACGGCGGAUACCUUGGCACACAGAGGCGAUGAAGGACGUGGUUACCUGCGAUAAGUCUCGGGGAGCUGGAAGCACGCUUUGAUCCGGGAAUUUCCGAAUGGGGCAACCCUUAAUACGGCCAGCUGAAUCCAUAGGCUGGCACGAGCCAACCCAGCGAACUGAAACAUCUUAGUAGCUGGAGGAAAGGAAAGUAAAAACGACUCCCUAAGUAGCGGCGAGCGAACGGGGAAGAGCCUAAACCGAUGCUUUCGAGUAUCGGGGUUGUGGGACAGCAACGUGUAUCAGGAAUGUUAGGAGAAGUGUUUGAAUGACACGCCACAGAGGGUGAAAGCCCCGUAACCGAAAACUGAACUGAACUAGCUGUAUCCCGAGUAGCACGGAGCACGUGAAAUUCCGUGUGAAUCCGCGAGGACCACCUCGUAAGGCUAAGUACUACUGUGUGACCGAUAGCGAAACAGUACCGCGAGGGAAAGGUGAAAAGAACCCCGGGAGGGGAGUGAAAUAGAACAUGAAACCGUGAGCCUACAAGCAAUGGGAGCCCUACUAAAUAGGGUGACCGUGUGCCUGUUGAAGAAUGAGCCGGCGACUUAUAGGCACUGGCGGGUUAAACCGGAAAUGGUGGAGCCAUAGCGAAAGCGAGUCUGAAUAGGGCGUUUGUCAGUGUUUAUAGACCCGAACCCGGGUGAUCUAACCAUGGCCAGGAUGAAGCUUGGGUGAUACCAAGUGGAGGUCCCAACCAACUGACGUUGAAAAGUCACUGGAUGAGCUGUGGUUAGCGGUGAAAUGCCAAUCGAACCCGGAGCUAGCUGGUUCUCCCCGAAAUACGUUGAGGCGUAGCGUCUGAUGCUCCAGCAGGGGGGUAAAGCCACCAUUUCGGUGCGGGCUGCGAGAGCGGUACCAAAUCGAGAUGAACUCUGAAUACCCUGUGUGUAGUCAGGCAGUCAGACUGUGGGGGAUAAGCUCCAUGGUCAAGAGGGAAACAGCCCAGACCGCCAGCUAAGGUCCCCAAAUCAACACUAAGUGAUAAAGGAGGUGGAAUUCCACAGACAACCAGGAGGUUUGCUUAGAAGCAGCCAUCCUCAAAGGAGUGCGUAAUAGCUCACUGGUCGAGGGAUUCUGCGCCGAAAAUGAACGGGGCUAAGUGUUGUACCGAAGCUGCGGAUUUUUAUGGUAGGGGAGCGUUCUAUGUGGGGCGAAGCGUUAGCGUGAGCGGGCGUGGACUGCAUAGAAGUGAGAAUGUCGGCUUGAGUAGCGAAAACAUGGGUGAGAAUCCCAUGCACCGAAACCCUAAGGGUUCCUCCGGCAGGCUCGUCCGCGGAGGGUUAGUCUGGACCUAAGGUGAGGCCGAAAGGCGUAGUCGAUGGACAACAGGUCAACAUUCCUGUACCGGUUAUGUAUUGGGAAGAGGGACGGAGACGGCUAGCCAAGCCAGACGUUGGUUACUGGUUCAAGCUUCCGAGGCGUUGAGGAGCGGCGAAAACGUUCCGAGCUGAGGGGUGAGUACGAGCUGCUACGGCAGCGAAGUUGGUGAUGUCAUGCUUCCAAGAAAAGCUCUAUACCCGUUAAUGCAUAACUGCCAGUACCCGAAACCGACACAGGUGGGGUGGUAGAGAAUACCGAGGUGCGCGAGGUAACUCUCUCUAAGGAACUCGGCAAAUUAGCCCCGUAACUUCGGGAGAAGGGGUGCCACCGCAAGGUGGUCGCAGUGAAAAGGCCCUGGCGACUGUUUACCAAAAACACAGGUCUCCGCUAAGUCGCAAGACGAUGUAUGGGGGCUGACGCCUGCCCAGUGCCGGAAGGUUAAGGAAGCCGGUCAGCGUAAGCGAAGCUGGCGACUGAAGCCCCGGUGAACGGCGGCCGUAACUAUAACGGUCCUAAGGUAGCGAAAUUCCUUGUCGGGUAAGUUCCGACCCGCACGAAAGGCGUAACGAUCAGGGCGCUGUCUCGGAGAGAGGCUCGGCGAAAUAGAAUUGUCUGUGAAGAUGCGGACUACGUACACCUGGACAGAAAGACCCUAUGAAGCUUUACUGUAGCUUGGUAUUGUGUUCGGGCUCUGAAUGCGCAGGAUAGGUGGGAGAUGUUGAUCUAAUGCUCGUGGGUAUUAGGGAGUCAAUGGUGAGAUACCACUCUUUCAGAGCUAGAAUUCUAACGUUCACCCGUUAUCCGGGGAGCGGACAGUAUCAGGUGGGCAGUUUGACUGGGGCGGUCGCCUCCUAAAAGGUAACGGAGGCGCGCAAAGGUUUCCUCAGGCUGGUUGGAAAUCAGCUGAUGAGUGCAAAAGCAGAAGGAAGCUUGACUGUGAGACCUACAAGUCGAACAGGGACGAAAGUCGGCUUUAGUGAUCCGACGGUUCUGAGUGGAAGGGCCGUCGCUCAACGGAUAAAAGUUACUCUAGGGAUAACAGGCUGAUCUCCCCCAAGAGUUCACAUCGACGGGGAGGUUUGGCACCUCGAUGUCGGCUCAUCGCAACCUGGGGCUGAAGUCGGUCCCAAGGGUUGGGCUGUUCGCCCAUUAAAGCGGUACGCGAGCUGGGUUCAGAACGUCGUGAGACAGUUCGGUCCAUAUCCGGUGUACGCGUAGGAACAUUGAGAGGAUUUCUCCCUAGUACGAGAGGACCGGGAGGAACGCACCUCUGGUGUACCAGUUAUCGUGCCAACGGUAAACGCUGGGUAGCCAUGUGCGGAGUGGAUAACCGCUGAAAGCAUCUAAGUGGGAAGCCCACCUCAAGAUGAGUGUUCCCAUGGGGUAACCCAGUAAGGUCACGGGGAGAACACCCGUUGAUAGGCUCUACGUGGAAGUCCAGUAAUGGAUGCAGCGGAGGAGUACUAAUAGACCGAGGGCUUGACCAA